rnacentral:misc_RNA from 1 species
GAUGAAGAACGCAGUGAAAUGCGAUAAGUAAUGUGAAUUGCAGAAUUCAGUGAAUCAUCGAAUCUUUGAACGCACCUUGCGCCCUUUGGCUAUUCCGAAGGGCAUGCCUGUUUGAGUAUCAUGAACACCUCAACUCUCAUGGCUUGCCAUGAUGAGCUUGGACUUUUGGGGGUCUUGCUGGCCUGUGGUCAGCUCCUCUCAAAUGAAUUAGCCUGCCAGUGUUUGGUGGCAUCACAGGUGUGAUAACUAUCUACGCUUGUGGUUUUCCACCAGGUAACCUUCAGUGAUGAAGGUUCGCUGGGGCUCAUAAACGUCUCUCCUCAGUGAGGACAGCUCUUUGAACGUUUGAUCUCAAAUCAGGUAGGACUACCCGCUGAACUUAAGCAUAUCAAUAAGCGGAGGA